CCAAAUGGUGUUGGGAACUAUAGUUUGUUAUGGUUUCUGGGAAUUUUAGAGGGAAGCUACAAUCCCCAGGAUCCUUUGGGAGAAGUCAUGUGCUUAAAAUGCUCAUUGGAGGCAUCAUAGAAUCAUAGAACUGUGAAGUUUCUCUUUUUUAUAAUAAUUUUUAUUCAUUUUCAAUUACCAUCCAAGAAUAGCCUCUUUAUAACAAUACCAAAUUAUAAUACAAUUACUAAUAAUCUAGGUGGCCCCCACGGGCUAGAUUUCAUGGUUUGAUUAUUUUCUUUUUUUCUGUGUUCCAAAAUCUAAUUAAUUUCAAUUACAUUCCAGUCAAAAUAAUAAUCCUUUAUACAACAACUGCAAUAUUAAUAACUUCCAUUCGUGUUGACACAUUAAAUGAUUUUUAGAACUACAAGUGAGGCACUCAGACUAUAUCCUUGUUCUUCCUGUGUGUGGCAAUUAUUCUGUCCUUGAUGUUUCUUCCUGUCCUUGUAAAAUGUUAUGUUAUGUAAAAUUAUAUAAGGAUUGGUGAAUCUUUAAAGAAUAUUUAGAAAACGAUGGAAUAAAAGGAAACAUCUUGGCAGAAUUAGACUGAUCCCUGUAUUGCAUAAAUAUAAGUUUGUAGGGAGGUAAAAAGAAAUUAUAUAAGAAAUAUGUAACUGUGCGGUAUAAAGUAAUGGAUAGACAAAGUACAGUGAGAUUAAUUGGAAGUCAGUUUUAAAUUUCUUUUCUAUAAAUUUUAUAAUUGUGUUCAAUACCAGAAGUAUAUAUAAUUAUAUUAAUCUUCUUAUAUCUUAUAGUGUGGUGGUUUGUUUGAUUUUUCUGUUAUUUGUUUUUUUGAGUGUAUGUUUGUUUACUUUGUAUGUACGUCUGUUUUUCAUAAAUGUAUUUAUUUUAAAUUAAUAAAGAUAUAUUUUAAAAAAGUAAAAUGUUAUGUCUAUCUCUUCCCAAGGGUCAUGUUUCUAGUCCGAACCCCUACAAUGCAGGAAUCUCAACCAAGAUCAUCCAAGGCCAUCCAGCCUCUGCUUAAAAACCUCCAGCAAAGGAGUCCGCCGCCUUCUAAGAGAUUCCUUUCCACUGUCAAAGAGUGUAAAAGGAGAAUGGGGAGCGUACCUUUCUGCAUGAGAUCAAGAAAGGAAGCGCUCCAGCUCCUCAAGAAGUUGAUCAGCCAAGCUUCCUUUGGAAGUUGUGGCCUGUUAAUUCCUUUGGGGAUCGAUUCCUCACACGUGCCAGGAGGAGAUCACAUCCUGCUUCCUUCACAGGGCCAUGUUUCCAGAGAAUGGUCCGCGUCUCCAGCUCCCAACCUGAAGGGGAAGGGGGCAAUCAAGCCAUCCAUAUGGUUCCUGGUUGCCCCUUUUGGAUCCCAGUGCAGCCUAGCGAAGAGCAAAGCUGUUAACACACCCGCGUUUGCUUGGCACACAACCCAAGCGGAAGCGGAACGCAGGGCCUUUCCCCAAGAGGUGAUCAUUCUUAUUUCUGGGCUGCCAAAAGCUUAUCUACUACUGCCUACAGCCCAAGUAACAACUGAAAUGACCCAAGGACCCAGAGGUGGCUGAAGAGCUGGAAACCCAGAUUAAGGGACAGAACUAUCCAAACUGUACAGAAAUUUAUCCAUGUAUGCGACUACAGUGGCUAGAAUGUUACUUGCCCAAGAAUGGAAAGAAGUCCCAGCGAAAGAAGAAUGGAUUCCAAAACUUUUGGAAUAUGCAGAAACUGCAAAACUUACCAAAAAAAUUGGAAAUCAAGGAAUACUGCCAACAGAAAUAAAGCAAAAUACAAGACCACUGCUUAUGUACUCAAUUACAGCUGCAAGAAUAUUGGUAGCAAGAAGCUGGAAAUGUGAAACACCUACAAGACAGGAUGCUAUAACUGAUAUUCUUUUCUUAUUGUUAAUUCUCUUUUGUUCUUUUUAUUUUUAUUCUCUUUA